rnacentral:rRNA from 1 species
CCUACGGGAGGCAGCAGUGGGGAAUAUUGCACAAUGGGCGAAACCCUGAUGCAGCGACGCCGCGUGAGUGAAGAAGUAAUUCGUUAUGUAAAGCUCUUUCAGCAGGGAAGAAAAUGACGGUACCUGAGUAAGAAGCCCCGGCUAACUACGUGCCAGCAGCCGCGGUAAUACGUAGGGGGCAAGCGUUAUCCGGAUUUACUGGGUGUAAAGGGAGCGUAGACGGCAGUGCAAGUCUGGUGUGAAAGGCGGGGGCUCAACCCCCGGAGUGCUCUGGAAACUGGAAGGCUGGAGUGCAGGAGAGGUAAGUGGAAUUCCUAGUGUAGCGGUGAAAUGCGUAGAUAUUAGGAGGAACACCAGUGGCGAAGGCGGCUUACUGGACUGUAACUGACGUUGAGGCUCGAAAGCGUGGGUAGCAAACAGGAUUAGAUACCCGGGUAGUC